UUGGAAGCUUUCACUUGGAGCUCCUGAGGGUGUGAGCAUUGUGCCCGGUUGAGCUGUUAAAUGACCAGCAUUUCCCAAAAGAACUGAAAGCCCCCUCCAUCAUCAUAGAAACAGAUUUUUUUUUAUGCGACCAGUUGGAUGGAAGAUGGAAUUAAUCAAAUGGUUAAUUAUAAGGUGAGACCUCUUGACUCCAGUACUGAAGCAUGCCCCAGGUCUCACUCACAGCCUGCUGCAGUGAAACACGCAUAUGCAGAGACCAGAGCAACUUUGUUCUGGAGGCAGAGGUCAACCCAGACAGCAUUUGACUUAUGAACAGCUGUGCUUUGUGAAGGACCUGACAACGUAAAGGUUCUUUCUGUUCAGGAUGGUGCUGCAGUGAAACCCAAGCUGAGACUCCAUUGAAGUCACAAGUUCAACUAGCCUGUUAAUAUAGAUGAAUUUUUGUGUAUACUUAAGCACUUCCCUCAGAUUAGCCAAAGAACACCAUUUUCCUUUUUUUUUCCCUCUAAUAAAUAAAUUUAUUUUCUCCUGUUUGUCUGUCUGUCUCUCUAUUUUAUCUUCUUUAUUGUUUGUGUUCAUGUCAAGUAUUGCUCAUUCUGGUUUCUAUUAUUAAUUUUUCUAUCACUUCAUCACAUGUUAAAGGGGGAUAGGAGUGGAUGCCAAACUUACCUGGUAUUGGCUCAGGUCAUAAAAUAAUGCAAUGCUUUGUAGAGAUUCAGGACUUGUCUUAAAUUGAAGAUAAAGUGGUUUUUACCUCUAUCAUACCAAGAAAAUUAAUGUAGCCUCUACUUGCCUCUCUCCACCUUGGCAUCCCUUAUUAAACCGAGGGCAAUUAUGAUCUGAACAUUUUUAGGAUGACAAACAUCACGGAUCACCUGAGGUUAAUGUCAAUUAAUAGGUUGUGUCAGUUAUGGAGUAACUGGCAAUUGGAUGAGAAAAUGAAAGAAACAAAGAAGCAGAAAAAGCUGGAAGGAGAUAAUUAUUGUAUGGCUUAGAAAUCAAAUAUAAAAGUUCAGUAAAUACUGAUACUGAUAAAGGAAUUGCUAGAAGUUAAAUUCCACAGCAUCUCAGUGCAGGCUGUUAUGUCACACUGACAACUGCAGCACGUGAACAACGGUGUCUCUAUAGCUUAUAUUUCAUCAAGGAGUUUCACUGGCACGUGGGAGCUGUCAAGGCCUGGAGAGGUGAUCUGUCAGAAGGAUGUCUGCAGCAUUAAGUGUUUAAUGCCAUUUUAAUAACAGUUUUGCAGUUCCUGUAUAUACCUGUGAAUGGCUGUGUAUUGUUUUAAAACACUUCCUUUUAACUUCAGGUACAAUUGAGCCAGAUCCUUUACAGACAUAAUUUGCUGUGGUUCUUUUUAUUUCAACAGG